rnacentral:rRNA from 1 species
AUCAUGGCUCAGAUUGAACGCUGGCGGCAGGCUUAACACAUGCAAGUCGAGCGGGGGCUUCGGUCCUAGCGGCGAACGGGUGAGGAAUGCCUGGGAAUCUGCCUGGUAGUGGGGGAUAACGAUUCGAAAGGGUCGCUAAUACCGCAUACGUCCUACGGGAGAAAGCAGGGGGACCUUCGGGCCUUGCGCUAUCAGAUGAGCCCAGGUCGGAUUAGCUAGUAGGUGAGGUAAAGGCUCACCUAGGCGACGAUCCGUAGCUGGUCUGAGAGGAUGAUCAGCCACACUGGAACUGAGACACGGUCCAGACUCCUACGGGAGGCAGCAGUGGGGAAUAUUGGACAAUGGGCGAAAGCCUGAUCCAGCCAUGCCGCGUGUGUGAAGAAGGCUCGGUGUAAGACGACUUAGUACGGGGAGGGAAGGGGACGUUCUGGUCGUAAUAUCCAGAGC